rnacentral:lncRNA from 1 species
CGAGUUGGUGAGCAGGAAUCCGGCCCCGCUCCCUUGGGCAUUGGAAGCUUCAUCUAUGUGUAACACCCAGGUCGACCCGGGGACAAAUUCAGGAGUCGCAGCUUCUUUGGAGCUCCCGUCUUCCGAUAUUUGAUCGGCUGUCGGGCAUUCCGCAAUAAAGUCGGCCAGAACUUGGGCUUUCAAAGCAAGUCAUGGUCGGU